rnacentral:lncRNA from 1 species
GGAGGGAAAAAUGAAGUCAAACUCUAUUUCAGCCAUGCUUCUACUUCUACUCCUCAUUUUGUGUGGUAACAAGAAUUUAAAUUAUUUUUUGAUUUUCAAAACUAGAUGACUUAGUAGAGUUCAUAAAUUUAGAUGUAUGAAUUAAUUUGUUUAUUAUUAUAGUUUUCAGUAAUUAGAAUGAAUUGUUUGGUUAUGUGGUAGGAGGAGAAACAAUGAUAAAGAGUGUGGAAGGGCAGUAUUGUCAAAGGCUGCUGCCAAUAUCAACAUCACAGACAUGCUAUGAUUCAUUAUGCAUUAUUAGUUGCCAAAUUGAAUUUGGAGCUGCAGCCAAUGGAGCUUGUAUUGGGCCUCGUACAUGUAAUUGCAAUUACCUUUGUUGAUAAUUGCAAUUACCAUUGUUGAUGAUUGGCA